ACUCCUACGGGAGGCAGCAGUGGGGAAUAUUGCACAAUGGGCGCAAGCCUGAUGCAGCAACGCCGCGUGAGGGACGACGGCCUUCGGGUUGUAAACCUCUUUUAAUAGGGAAGAAGCGAAAGUGACGGUACCUGCAGAAAAAGCACCGGCUAACUACGUGCCAGCAGCCGCGGUAAUACGUAGGGUGCAAGCGUUAUCCGGAAUUAUUGGGCGUAAAGAGCUCGUAGGCGGUUUGUCGCGUCUGCUGUGAAAUCUGGGGGCUCAACCCCCAGCCUGCAGUGGGUACGGGCAGACUAGAGUGCGGUAGGGGAGAUUGGAAUUCCUGGUGUAGCGGUGGAAUGCGCAGAUAUCAGGAGGAACACCAAUGGCGAAGGCAGAUCUCUGGGCCGUAACUGACGCUGAGGAGCGAAAGCAUGGGGAGCGAACAGGAUUAGAUACCCUGGUAGUCCAUGCCGUAAACGUUGGGAACUAGAUGUAGGGGCCAUUCCACGGUUUCUGUGUCGCAGCUAACGCAUUAAGUUCCCCGCCUGGGGAGUACGGCCGCAAGGCUAAAACUCAAAGGAAUUGACGGGGGCCCGCACAAGCGGCGGAGCAUGCGGAUUAAUUCGAUGCAACGCGAAGAACCUUACCAAGGCUUGACAUAUACCGGUAAAGGCUGGAAACAGUCUCCCCGCAAGGUCGGUAUACAGGUGGUGCAUGGUUGUCGUCAGCUAGUGUCGUGAGAUGUUGGGUUAAGUCCCGCAACGAGCGCAACCCUCGUUCUAUGUUGCCAGCACGUAAUGGUGGGAACUCAUAGGAGACUGCCGGGGUCAACUCGGA
rnacentral:rRNA from 1 species